GAGAUAUAUACUGUCUCAUAUAUAUUUGAUUAAUUUAAAUUUUUAGUAAAAAUGCUUAAAUAAUUUUAUGGGACGAUAAGACCCUAUAGAAUUUUAUAUUAAUAUUUUAUUAAUUAUUUAAUUAAAAUAUUAAUAUUUAAUUGGGAGGAUUAAUAAAUUUAAAAAACUUUAUUUUAAAAAUAAACUUUGAUUUUAGAAUUAAUUUUUGAUCUUUUAUUAUAAAUCAAAAGAAUAAAUUACCUUAGGGAUAACAGCGUAAUAUCUUUUUAAAGAUCAUAUUUAAAAAGAUGUUUGCGACCUCGAUGUUGAAUUAAGAUAAAUUUUAAACGGAGAAGUUUAAUAAUUAAGUCUGUUCGACUUUUAAAAUCUUACAUGA
rnacentral:rRNA from 1 species